CGAACGGGUGAGUAACGCGUGAGAAUUUGCUUCUAGGUAGAGGAUAACCAAUAGAAAUAUUGGCUAAAACUCUAUAAUUCUAUUAAAAAAAUAGCUAAAAAAAGAAAUUUGCCUAGAAAAAAGCUCGCGUCUGAUUAGCUAGUUGGUAAGGGAAAGGCUUACCAAGGCGACGAUCAGUAGCUGAUUUGAGAGGAUGAUCAGCCACACUGGAACUGAGACACGGUCCAGACUCCUACGGGAGGCAGCAGUGAGGAAUUUUCUGCAAUGGGCGAAAGCCUGACAGAGCAAUACCGCGUGAGGGAAUAAGAAGGCCUAUGGGUUGUAAACCUCUUUUCUCAAAGAAGAAGAUCUGACGUUAUUUGAGGAAUAAGCAUCGGCUAACCCUGUGCCAGCAGCCGCGGUAAGACAGGGGAUGCGAGUGUUAUCCGGAAUUAUU
rnacentral:rRNA from 1 species